rnacentral:piRNA from 1 species
GUUCCAUGGGUCCUGAUGGACAGAAGGGAAGA